ACCAAUACUCAAAAUUGUCCAUAGACCUUCUCUAUCCAUUCGCUGUGGCAUGUGUGUGCCUGUACACACAUGCAUACACACACCAUACAUACAUGA
rnacentral:miRNA from 1 species